CACGUAGGGCGCAAGCGUUGUCCGGAAUUAUUGGGCGUAAAGAGCUCGUAGGUGGUCUGUUGCGUCCGCUGUGAAAACUCGGGGCUUAACCCCGAGCCUGCAGUGGAUACGGGCAGACUAGAGGUAGGUAGGGGAGAAUGGAAUUCCUGGUGUAGCGGUGAAAUGCGCAGAUAUCAGGAGGAACACCGGUGGCGAAGGCGGGUCUCUGGGCCGAUACUGACGCUGAGGAGCGAAAGCGUGGGGAGCGAACAGG
rnacentral:rRNA from 1 species